UCCUACGGGAGGCAGCAGUAGGGAAUCUUCCACAAUGGACGAAAGUCUGAUGGAGCAAUGCCGCGUGAGUGAAGGAGGUUUUCGGAUCGUAAAACUCUGUUGUUGAAGAAGAACAUAUGUGAGAGUAACUGUUCACGUACUGACGGUAUUCAACCAUAAAGCCACGGCUAACUACGUGCCAGCAGCCGCGGUAAUA
rnacentral:rRNA from 1 species